rnacentral:lncRNA from 1 species
UAGACAUCACCGGAUGACUAGGAAAAACUCGACGUUUAUCGACACCAACGGAGAGGAGGAAUGGAGAUAAUGAACACAACCAAAUCAUCAACGGAUGAUCGGGAAAAACUCAACGUUUAUCGACACCAACGGAGAGGAGGAAUCUUCACUAGGGAAGGGAUAACGAUGUUACGAACAUCGAAAGAUGAUGUUUACAGACAUCAAA